rnacentral:rRNA from 1 species
AGUCGAGCGGUAAGCUGUAGCAAUACAGCCUAGAGCGGCGGACUGGUGAGUAGCACGUGGGUGACCUACCCUUAGGAUGGGGAUAGCCACUAGAAAUAGUGGGUAAUACCGAAUGUGGUUACCGGGCUGUGGCCUGGUAAAGAAAGGAGCUAUGGCUCCGCAUGAGGAUGGGCCCGCGUCCCAUUAGCUAGUUGGUGAGGUAAAGGCUCACCAAGGCGAUGAUGGGUGGCCGGCCUGAGAGGGUGAACGGCCACACUGGGACUGAGAUACGGCCCAGACUCCUACGGGAGGCAGCAGCUAAGAAUAUUCCGCAAUGGACGAAAGCCUGACGGAGCGACGCCGCGUGGAUGACGAAGGCCGAAAGGUUGUAAAAUCCUUUUGUCGAUGAAGAAUAAGCAGGGGAGGGAAUGCCCGUGUGAUGACGUUAGUCGGCGAAUAAGCCCCGGCUAAUUACGUGCCAGCAGCCGCGGUAACACGUAAGGGGCGAGCGUUGUUCGGAAUUAUUGGGCGUAAAGGGCGCGUAGGCGGUCCUGUAAGCCCGGCGUGAAAACCUGGAGCUCAACUCCGGGCCUGCGCUGGGAACUGCGGGACUAGAGUCAUGGAAGGGAAGUUGGAAUUCCAGGUGUAGGGGUGAAAUCUGUAGAUAUCUGGAAGAACACCGGUGGCGAAGGCGAACUUCUGGCCAAUGACUGACGCUGACGCGCGAAAGUGCGGGGAGCAAACAGGAUUAGAUACCCUGGUAGUCCGCACCAUAAACGAUGUACACUAGCGUUGGGUCGGGUGACUCAGUGCCGAAGCUACGUGAUAAGUGUACGCCUGGGGGAGUAUGCC